UACGAAGGGUGCAAGCGUUACUCGGAAUUACUGGGCGUAAAGGGUGCGUAGGUGGUUUGUUAAGUCUGCUGUGAAAUCCCCGGGCUCAACCUGGGAAUGGCAGUGGAUACUGGCAAGCUAGAGUGCGGUAGAGGGUAGUGGAAUUCCCGGUGUAGCAGUGAAAUGCGUAGAGAUCGGGAGGAACACCAGUGGCGAAGGCGGCUACCUGGACCAGCACUGACACUGAAGCACGAAAGCGCGGGGAGCAAACAGG
rnacentral:rRNA from 1 species